AAUGUUUCAGAAGGGCGAGGCUGGAUAGCUCGGUUAGAAUGGAGGUGCGAGGCAGGAGAGACGGGCGGACGAGAAAGAAAUCCGGCCCCUGUUCAAUUAAUUUUGUGUUCUUUCAACAGGUGAUGGAACGCAGCUGAGAGGUGCCCAAUUACCUGCCCUCGGUGAGCUCAGCCAUCGGCGGGGAGGUGCCCCAGCGCUACGUGUGGCGUUUCUGCAUCGGCCUGCACUCGGCGCCUCGCUUCUUGGUGGCCUUCGCCUACUGGAACCACUACCUCAGCUGCACCUCCCCGUGUUCCUGCUAUCGCCCGCUCUGCCGCCUCAACUUCGGCCUCAAUGUCGUGGAGAACCUCGCGUUGCUAGUGCUCACUUAUGUCUCCUCCUCCGAGGACUUCAGUGGGUGCCUGGAUGAGGGAGGAGUGGGGAAGUGUUCCCUGAGGGGACGGGCCCGCCCCUACCACAUUC
rnacentral:sRNA from 1 species